GACAGAGGUUGCAAACGUUGUUCGGAAUCACUGGGCAUAAAGCGCACGUAGGCGGUCUGUUAAGUCAUGUGUGAAAGCCCCCGGCUCAACCGGGGAAUUGCAUUUGAUACUGGCAGGCUCGAGAACGGUAGGGGUGAGUGGAACUCCAGGUGGAGCGGUGAAAUGCGUAGAUAUCUGGAGGAACACCGGUGGCGAAAGCGGCUCACUGGACCGUCACUGACGCUGAGGUGCGAAAGCUAGGGUAGCAAACGGG
rnacentral:rRNA from 1 species